rfam:Pteropus alecto contig40317, whole genome shotgun sequence.
GUCUACAGCCAUGCCGCUCUGAACGUGCCCCAUCUCAUCUGAUCUUGGAAGUUAAGCAGGGUUGGGCCUGCUUAGUACUUAGAUGGGAGACCACCUAGGAAGACCAGGUGCUGUAGGAG